rnacentral:rRNA from 1 species
GCAAUUCGAGGGGUAACAGGGUGCUUUCACCGCUUACGACCGGCGAACGGGUGCGUAACGCGUAUAGAAUCUGCCUUGUACAGGAGGAUAGCCUUUAGAAAUGAAGAUUAAUACUCCAUAAUACUGAGAUGUGGCAUCACAAUUUAGUUAAACAUUUAUGGGUACAAGAUGACUAUGCGUCCUAUUAGCUAGAUGGUAAGGUAACGGGUUAACAUGGCAACGAUAGGGAGGGGGUCUGAGAGGAUUAUC